UGCCGGGUAGAUCAAUUGGCAGAUCGUCUGACUCUGGAUCAGAAAGUUCAAGGUUCGAAUCCUUGCCCGGCAG
rnacentral:tRNA from 1 species